GAUCUCCUCCCACCUGGAGCCCCCACCCACUCCACAGGGCACAUCUGGCGACGGGACGCUAGGGUAUUUCCACCGUUCUCAAAGUGGAUCCAAGACAAAUGAGGAUUUCUGGUGUGCGCCUCGGAGUUUCGUGAGUCCUGCAGCUGGUACCGGAUGCGUAAAGCCUCUCUAAUGUACCUUAUUUUCCUAACUGGAGUACCCACAUCUGGCUUUACAUCGAAGCAAAUGGACUGUGUCUAACUUUCUAAUACCUGUACACAGCCCACCCGACCUUGAAGCUUUGAAAUGCUUUGUGGGUGAAACUAGCCUGGGCAGAGACAACGCUUCUCACUUAAGGCUUUCUCUGCAUCUGGAAAGAGACUCAACACCCUCUAUCUUCAGGCAGAGGAGGAGAACUUUGUAGGUUCUGAGGAUAACAGAACAGGCAUCUGCACGAUGUUGGAUUAAAUUCAGGCACUGUCUCGGGAGAGAGAAGCCUAGGAACUCUUCACUCUGCAGAGCAUCCCAUACUAAGAGGACAGCAGCUGUGGACCCCAGAACAGGUUCUCAACCUGUGGAUCUCGACCCCUUUGUGGUGGUGAAUAUCAGAUUAUCUUGAACAUCAGAAAUUUACAUGAUGAUUCAUAAUAGCAGCAAAAUUACAGUUAUGAAGUAGGAAUGAAAUAAUUUUAUGGUUGGGGCUCAUCCAAAACAUAAGGAAUUGUAGUCAAGGGUCACAGCAUUAGGAAGGUUGAGAACCACUGCCCUAGAAGAUGUUUCCACAGUGGACACCGUGAGAAUGCUGUGAGACACAAACCCUCAUUUCACACCCCAGCACUUACCUUUUCCUUAUCUUAUAUGGAUGCAAAUUAAUCUCACCAUGCGACAUGAGAAAGGAAUACUGAGAUGAAUUUUGGGUUCUCAUUAAAAAUGAAUAGUCUGAUACUUCCCAUUAAUCCAGUGUCAUCUCCUGAGUCCCUAAUAGAGUGGCCCAUGACAAGAUAAAUUGCUAGUGACUUUGGGUAAGCAUCCGAGUUUAAACAGUCUCAGAAACAAAGGUGACUCCGGUGACACUCUCAGCGAUGACAAGGCAGCGUGAAAGUACUCACAACCAAACCGGAAGGAAACAGCAAUCCAGCUCUCCCAAGACCGCGUGGAAGAUGCUGCAUAAGAUGUACGGACCAGUGCUACCCCCUCAACAAUGCUCAGACCCCGAAUGAGCACACCAGCAUCUUGAACAGGCACCGUGUACACACUAACACAGGCAUAGCACAGCUCAUGCCAUUUUGCUAAGAGUUCUGCUUGCCAACAUCUGCUUCAGCUGGGGCAAGAAACAGAGGGUAAGGACAGGAACAAGCAGAUGUUCCUCUCUCCUUCCUU